rnacentral:rRNA from 1 species
UGGGGAAUUUUGGACAAUGGGCGCAAGCCUGAUCCAGCCAUGCCGCGUGCGGGAAGAAGGCCUUCGGGUUGUAAACCGCUUUUGUCAGGGAAGAAAUCUUCUGAGUUAAUACCUCGGGAGGAUGACGGUACCUGAAGAAUAAGCACCGGCUAACUACGUGCCAGCAGCCGCGGUAAUACGUAGGGUGCAAGCGUUAAUCGGAAUUACUGGGCGUAAAGCGUGCGCAGGCGGUUUUGUAAGACAGAGGUGAAAUCCCCGGGCUCAACCUGGGAACUGCCUUUGUGACUGCAAGGCUUGAGUGCGGCAUAGGGAGGUGGAAUUCCGCGUGUAGCAGUGAAAUGCGUAGAUAUGCGGAGGAACACCGAUGGCGAAGGCAAUCCCCUGGGCCUGCACUGACGCUCAUGCACGAAAGCGUGGGGAGCAAACAGGAUUAGAUACCCUGGUAGUCCACGCCCUAAACGAUGUCAACUGGUUGUUGGGAAGGUUCCUUCUCAGUAACGUAGCUAACGCGUGAAGUUGACCGCCUGGGGAGUACGGCCGC